GAACGAAAAUUACUAAAGCUUGCUUUCGUAAUUUUAGUGGCGGACGGGUGAGUAACACGUGGAUAAUCUGCCCUUGACUGUGGAAUAACAAUCAGAAAUGAUUGCUAAUACCACAUAAGCUCACGCUAUCGCAUGAUAUAGUGAGAAAAGAUUUAUCGGUCAAGGAUGAGUCCGCGUUAUAUUAGCUAGUUGGUGAGGUAAUAGCUCACCAAGGCGACGAUCUAUAGCCGACCUGAUAGGGUGAUCGGCCACACUGGGACUGAGACACGGCCCAGACUCCUACGGGAGGCAGCAGUGAGGGAUAUUGCACAAUGGGCGAAAGCCUGAUGCAGCAACGCCGCGUGAAGGAAGAAGGUUCUCGGAUCGUAAACUUCUAUCGAUGGGGACGAAAAAAAUGACGGUACCCAGGUAAUAAGCCCCGGCUAACUACGUGCCAGCAGCCGCGGUAAU
rnacentral:rRNA from 1 species